rnacentral:rRNA from 1 species
UCCACGCCCUAAACGCUGUCUGCUGGUUUUUGGGAGAAUCGACCCUCUCAGAGACGAAGCUAACGCAUUAAGCAGACCGCCUGGGUAGUACGAGCGCAAGCUUAAAAACUCAAAGGAAUAGACGGGGGCUCGGCACAAGCGGUGGAGCGCGUGGCUUAAUUCGUCGCUAAGCGAAGAACCUUACCAAGGCUAGAUAUCAUACUGCACGCUUCGGGAAACCGAAGAAGCCUUCG